rnacentral:rRNA from 1 species
AUUGAACGCUGGCGGCAGGCUUAACACCUGCAAGUCGAGCGAGCGGCGGACGGGUGCGUAAUGUCUGGGAAACUGCCUGAUGGAGGGGGAUAACUACUGGAAACGGUAGCUAAUACCGCAUACCAUCAGAUGUGCCCAGAGGGGAGUAGCUAGUAGGUGGGGUAAUGGCUCACCUAGGCGGCGAUCCCUAGCUGGUCUGAGAGGAUGACCAGCCACACUGGAACUGAGACACGGCCCGGACUCCUACGGGGGGCAGCAGUGGAGAAUAUUGCACAAUGGGCGCAAGCAUGAUGCAGGCAUGCGGCGUGUGUGAAGAAGGCCUUCGGGUUGUAAAGAACUUGCAGCGAGGAGGCGUUACGCGCAGAAGAAGCACCGGCUAACUCCGUGCCAGCAGCCGCGGUAAUAC